rnacentral:rRNA from 1 species
UACGGGGGGGGCAAGCGUUGUUCGGAAUUACUGGGCGUAAAGGGCUUGUAGGCGGCCAACUAAGUCAGACGUGAAAUCCCUCGGCUUAACCGGGGAACUGCGUCUGAUACUGGAUGGCUAGAGUGUGGGAGAGGGAUGCGGAAUUCCAGGUGUAGCGGUGAAAUGCGUAGAUAUCUGGAGGAACACCGGUGGCGAAGGCGGCAUCCUGGACCACGACUGACACUGAAAAGCGAAAGCCAGGGGAGCAAACGGG